AGAUUGCAAGGACAAGGCCUUCAAUUGCCAAGGCCAUCUGAAAAAAUACUGCAAAACCAGCUGGAACAUUAAGUACACUUGGUGCCGCAAAACCUGUGGAGCGUGUGAGGAAGGAGAUUGUAAAGACCGAGUUAACAACUGCUUCCGCUUGCAAAAGUUCUGCAAUCGAGCAGCUGUAGCAAUCAUGUGCCAAAGAACCUGUAAAGUCUGUAAGUGCCAUAACUAGCCAUAAUAAGCGGGUAGUUCUUUGGGGUGCACGUGACGUCAUAGAUGAGUGCAUGUGACGUCAUAGACGAGUGCAUGUGACACCAAAGAUGAGUGCAC